GACGUAGGGCGCGAGCGUUGUCCGGAUUUAUUGGGCGUAAAGAGCUACGUAGGCGGCUUGUCGCGUCGACUGUGAAAACCCGCGGCUCAACCGCGGCCUGCAGCCGAUACGGGCAGGCUAGAGUUCGGUAGGGGAGACUGGAAUUCCUGGUGUAGCGGUGAAAUGCGCAGAUAUCAGGAGGAACACCGGUGGCGAAGGCGGGUCUCUGGGCCGAUACUGACGCUGAGGAGCGAAAGCGUGGGGAGCGAACAGG
rnacentral:rRNA from 1 species